rnacentral:rRNA from 1 species
AUGGUGUGCACCGUAGGACUCGCCACCGCAUGCAUGUCGGCCGCUUCGGCCAUCUAUAAAGCGCCGGCGGGCAUCUUCGACGGCCACAGGUGCGCCUACUACUCCUCCGUCGUCUCCGCCGGCGUCAUCGGCCUAGCGGAGGCCUGCGCCGCGGUCAUGUGGUUGUCAGCCGGCGCGGGGCAGCAGCCGCGUCUGGCACGCCGCUGCGUCCUGUGCGCUUCGUUUCUGCCGCUCGCGUUCAUGGCGGGCCUCGGCGGCGUCCGCAUACUCGUCAAGUAG